AUUGAACGCUGGCGGCAGGCUUAACACAUGCAAGUCGUGGGGCAGCGCAGGUAGCAAUACUGGGCGGCGACCGGCAAACGGGUGCGGAACACGUACACAACCUUCCGAGAAGUGGGGAAUAGCCCAGAGAAAUUUGGAUUAAUACCCCGUAACAUAACGAUGUGGCAUCACAUUGUUAUUAUAGCUUCGGCGCUUCUUGAUGGGUGUGCGGCUGAUUAGAUAGUUGGCGGGGUAACGGCCCACCAAGUCUACGAUCAGUAGCUGAUGUGAGAGCAUGAUCAGCCACACGGAAACUGAGACACGGGCCCGACUCCUACGGGAGGCAGCAGUAAGGAAUAUUGGUCAAUGGACGCAAGUCUGAACCAGCCAUGCCGCGUGAAGGAUUAAGGUCCUCUGGAUUGUAAACUUCUUUUAUCUGGGACGAAAAAAGGCGAUUCUUCGUCACUUGACGGUACCAGAUGAAUAAGCACCGGCUAACUCCGUGCCAGCCGCCGCAGUAACAC
rnacentral:rRNA from 1 species